rnacentral:rRNA from 1 species
UACGGAGGGGGCUAGCGUUAUCCGGAUUCACUGGGUUUAAAGGGUGCGUAGGUGGGUUGGUAAGUCAGUGGUGAAAUCCCCGAGCUUAACUUGGGAACUGCCAUUGAUACUAUCAGUCUUGAAUAUUGUGGAGGUUAGCGGAAUAUGUCAUGUAGCGGUGAAAUGCUUAGAUAUGACAUAGAACACCAAUUGCGAAGGCAGCUGGCUACGCAUAUAUUGACACUGAGGCACGAAAAGCGUGGGGAUCAAACAGG